rnacentral:tRNA from 1 species
AGUAAAGUCAGCUAAACAAGCUUUUGGGCCCAUACCCCAACAAUGUUGGUUAAAAUCCUUCCUUUAUUACAGA